AUGCAGUCCAUGGGCAUAUACA
rnacentral:miRNA from 5 species